rnacentral:rRNA from 1 species
UCCCGCCUGCCCUGUGACUUGUUUAACGGCCGCGGUAUUUUGACCGUGCGAAGGUAGCGUAAUCACUUGUCUUUUAAAUGAAGACCUGUAUGAAUGGCAUAACGAGGGCUAAGCUGUCUCCUUUUUCCAGUCAAUGAAAUUAAUCUUCCCGUGCAGAAGCGGGAAUCUAAACAUAAGACGAGAAGACCCUAUGGAGCUUCAGACUAAAGGCAGCUCACAUUAAAAUAACUGGACAAACAGAACAAAUCAAGUGACCCCUGCCCUAAUGUUUUUGGUUGGGGCGACCGCGGGGGAACAAAAAUCCCCCAUGUGGAAUAGGAAUUUUAAAACUAGAGCCACAGCUCUCACAAGCAGAAUUUCUGACCAUCAAGACCCGGCAAAGCCGAUCAACGGACCGAGUUACCCUAGGGAUAACAGCGCAAUCCCCUUUUAGAGCCCAUAUCGACAAGGGGGUUUACGACCUCGAUGUUGGAUCAGGACAUCCUAAUGGUGCAGCCGCUAUUAAGGGUUCGUUUGUUCAACGAUUAAAGUCCUACGUGAUCUGAGUUCAGACCG